rnacentral:rRNA from 1 species
CAGCCCCUCGAGUGGUGGGGAUGAUUAUUUGGCCUAAAGCGUCCGUAGCCGGCCGGGUAAGUCUCCCGUUAAAUCCAGCGUCUCAAGCGUUGGACUGCGGGAGAUACUACUUGGCUAGAGAGUGGGAGAGGUCAGCGGUAUUCUGGGGGUAGGGGCGAAAUCCUUUGAUCCCCGGAGGACCACCAGUGGCGAAGGCUGCUGACUAGAACACGUCUGACGGUCAGGGACGAAAGCUGGGGUAGCGAACCGGAUUAGAUACCCGAGUAGUCC